rnacentral:rRNA from 1 species
UACGGGGGGGGGCAAGCGUUGUUCGGAAUUCCUGGGCGUAAAGGGUUUGUAGGUGGCUUGUUAAGUCAGACGUGAAAUCCCUCAGCUUAACUGGGGAACUGCGUCUGAUACUGGCGAGCUUGAGUGCAGGAGAGGAACGCGGAAUUCCAGGUGUAGCGGUGAAAUGCGUAGAUAUCUGGAGGAACACCGGUGGCGAAGGCGGCGUUCUGGACUGCAACUGACACUGAGAAACGAAAGCCAGGGUAGCAAACGGG